UCUGGAAGUUCUGCAGAUGAUGA
rnacentral:miRNA from 1 species